rfam:Oryza sativa Japonica Group DNA, chromosome 9, cultivar: Nipponbare, complete sequence.
UAUAAGAGAUUUUGAGUUUUUGCUUUUAAAGUUUGACCACUCGUCUUAUUUAAUUUUUUUUGAAAUUAUUAUUUAUUUUAUUUGUGACUAGCUUUAUUAUCUACAGUAUUUUAAGCACAACUUUUUGUUUUUUACAUUCGAAAAAAAUAUUUAAAUAAGACGAGUGGUCAAACGUUGCAAGCAAAAACUCAAAAUCUCUUGUAUU